rnacentral:rRNA from 1 species
GAUGAACGCUGGCGGCGUGCCUAAUACAUGCAAGUCGAGCGAACAGACGAGGAGCUUGCUCCUCUGACGUUAGCGGCGGACGGGUGAGUAACACGUGGAUAACCUACCUCUAAUACUGGGAUAACUUCGGGAAACCGGAGCCAAUACCGGCUAAUAUAUUGAACCGCAUGGUUCAAUAGUGAAAGACGGUUUUGCUGUCACUAAUAGAUGGAUCCGCGCCGCAUUAGCUAGUUGGUAAGGUAACGGCUUACCAAGGCAACGAUGCGUAGCCGACCUGAGAGGGUGAUCGGCCACACUGGAACUGAGACACGGUCCAGACUCCUACGGGAGGCAGCAGUAGGGAAUCUUCCGCAAUGGGCGAAAGCCUGACGGAGCAACGCCGCGUGAGUGAUGAAGGUCUUCGGAUCGUAAAACUCUGUUAUUAGGGAAGAACAAAUGUGUAAGUAACUAUGCACGUCUUGACGGUACCUAAUCAGAAAGCCACGGCUAACUACGUG